rnacentral:lncRNA from 1 species
UCUCUCUCGCUCUCUCUCUCUCUCUCUCUCUCUCUCUCUCUCUCUCUCUCUCUCUCUCUCUCUCUCUCUCUCUCUCUCUCUCUCUCUCUCUCUCUCUCUCUUGUACAAAUUCCAGAAAGAAAAAAAAACUUGAAAAAUUUCAGCAAUGGCGGCCAUUGGUAGUCGGAUCUGAUUUGUCUCAAGCUCCAUCAGCCACGCCCAAAGCCUGCUCCAACAGCAGCACCAGUGGCGGCGCCGCCCACGCCGGUGGCGGGAGCACCAAGUCCAGCACCAUCAGCCACCAUUACGCCGCCCGCAUCAUCUCCGCCGUCUGAUUCCCCCACCGCUUCUCCCGAUGCUCCUCCCACUUCUCACUGCCACUCCGUUGCUAACAGCCGCCCACCACCGCCCACCGCUCACCGCCGCCACCGUCACCGGUAAACUUAAUUUAUGCAUCAGUUUAAGAUGCUCCAAUAGCAGAAGAAAAAGGCUUCUUCUUUGAAGGGUUCUUAAUUAAUUGGGUUUGUUCUUCUUUUCUAUUUUGCUGAUUCGAUUUGUUAACUUAAUUGAUUUGAAUAUUCCAUGAAUCAGGUGAUAAGAUCUUCAAUUUCCUUUUUGCAUAUUUGUUUUGCUUGUGCUAAUUGUGAGCCUUGUGCUGAAUAUUAGGUUUUUAGGUUGAAAGGCAUCCUCUGUAUCAAAGUUAUCAUUUAUUUUUUAUUUUUUUAAUGAGAUUCUAGAUCUUUAAAAAUUAGGUUCCACUGAAGUUAAAUAGUUAGAUUCUACUCUAUGUUUUUUAUGUUUUUAGGUUGAAUUGCUCUAUUCUUUGUUAUACUGAAGCUAAACUGCAUCUUUCACACGAUUCAUAGGUAACCAUUGAAAAUUUCUGAUACGGUUUUAAAGAUAUGUGUUAGAUCCACGAACCUAAAAUGUUGAUACUGCAAAGUUACUAUACAUACCUAUUUUUAAGAAGAAAUUCUUCUGUGUGUGGAUGCAACUGUAUGUUAAUCGAUAUUUGUCGGUCGACGAUAAUUUAGUAACAUAUAGUAACAUGUAGUAACAUAUGCACGUGAUUGCGUAUUUUGAUUUAUAUUUAUUGGUUAUGAGUUGAUUUAUAUUAUAAAUAUUUAAAUUGAACCUUUUUUUCCCACAGGUUUUGGUGUUUGAACACCUUCUAUGCACUAAGCUUUUGCCGAGAGGACAUGUUGUUCGUCAGUUCGAAACAAUUACCGAUUAGAUCGAAGUUACUGUCGUGUUGAAAAGUAGGAUUUGAAGCCAUAAAUACAAACUAUACUAUAUACUCUUAUAGUCACAUGUGGUCAUAUACAUGUACUCAUAUAUAGUCACAUGUAGUCAUAUAUAAUCAAUCAUAUGUAGUCAUAUACAAGUAGUCAUAUAUAGUCACAUGUUGUCAUAUAGAUGUAGUCAUAUAUAGUCACAUGUAGUAAUAUAUAGUCACAUGUAGUCAUGUACAUGUAGUCGUAUAUAAUCAUAUGUAGUCAUAUACAAGUAGUCAUAUAUAGUCAUAUGUUGUCAUAUAGAUGUAGUCAUAUAUAGUCACAUGUAGUAAUAUAUAGUUAUAUAUUAGUUAUGUGGUUUUUCUGAUGUAUAGUGAUGUUGGUGUUUUUCUAAUUCUUUUGUUGGGUACUAAUUGAUUUAUAAUAUCAAGUUCCAAAUUGUGAAUUUUGUUGAUGUAGAC